CAAGCUAUUCUAUAUUCCUUUCGUAUAACCUCGCAGGCCGAAUCGUGUACACAGGGCGAGGGUUUCUACAGGGAGCCUUAACUUCCUAACUACGAAGCUAUGAAAAGAGCUA
rnacentral:ncRNA from 1 species